GCCGAGAUGGUGAAAUUGGUAGACACGCUAGCAUGAGGUGCUAGUACUUUAGGGUGUGAGGGUUCAAGUCCCUCUCUCGGCACCA
rnacentral:tRNA from 1 species